GGGAUAACACUUGAAAACAGGUGCUAAUACCGCAUAACCAUAGUUACCGCAUGGUAACUAUGUAAAAGGUGGCUAUGCUACCGCUUUUGGAUGGGCCCGCGGCGCAUUAGCUAGUUGGUGGGGUAAAGGCUUACCAAGGCAAUGAUGCGUAGCCGAACUGAGAGGUUGAUCGGCCACAUUGGGACUGAGACACGGCCCAAACUCCUACGGGAGGCAGCAGUAGGGAAUCUUCCACAAUGGGCGAAAGCCUGAUGGAGCAACGCCGCGUGGGUGAAGAAGGUCUUCGGAUCGUAAAACCCUGUUGUUAGAGAAGAAAGUGCGUGAGAGUAACUGUUCACGUUUCGACGGUAUCUAACCAGAAAGCCACGGCUAACUACGUGCCAGCAGCCGCGGUAAUACGUAGGUGGCAAGCGUUAUCCGGAUUUAUUGGGCGUAAAGGGAACGCAGGCGGUCUUUUAAGUCUGAUGUGAAAGCCUUCGGCUUAACCGGAGUAGUGCAUUGGAAACUGGGAGACUUGAGUGCAGAAGAGGAGAGUGGAACUCCAUGUGUAGCGGUGAAAUGCGUAGAUAUAUGGAAGAACACCAGUGGCGAAAGCGGCUCUCUGGUCUGUAACUGACGCUGAGGUUCGAAAGCGUGGGUAGCAAACAGGAUUAGAUACCCUGGUAGUCCACGCCGUAAAC
rnacentral:rRNA from 1 species